UCUCUCUAAGACCCUGCUGACACUAGGAUGCACCAGCACUUGCUCUGCUCGCUGGGAGGCCCGGAAGCCAGUGCAGCACGUGUGUGCUUAAAAAUGAGGUUUAUUCCUGCUCAGACGAGCUAAUGAAGCCGGGAAAUAAGUUACAAAGAGAACAAAGCAAUCCCAAACCACUUCCAGCUGCACCUUUCAGGUCACUUCAGCAUCUGGAAAAUAGGAGCUUUUUGCAGUGUUCCAGACUACACAGGAGCUGGCCCAUCCUAUGCACAAGGAAACUGCAUCAAAAAUAAACCAGGUGCCCCAAGGAACAGCCAUGUGGGAAGGUGGCAGGUUGGGUCUUCAGAACAUUCUCUCUUCUGCAGAAGCCACAAUGGUGCAUCCCUGUGUCCUGGUCUCUUCCAGGUGGAGUUAAGAAAAGGCUUCCUGAAAACUCCAGUUCUACCCACUUCAGUGUGUUUCAGUUCUAACUUCAAGAUGGGUCUUUUGGGUAGGGAAGGGGGUUUCAGAACCGCUGCAUCAAGCCAGCUGUGAAGGAUGGCAGCUGACAUCUCUCCACAGGUAGCUGGCAGUGCCACAGGGCCAUCACCUCUGUCAUGUCACAUCACUGCUGGGACUUGCCUCUCCCUUUCUAAACAAAUCAGAUUAUUUUACUCUUGAAAGCUUUUCCAUGCAAAUUCCGCCCCCAAUACCAGUGAAGAUGAAGAAUGAGACCCCCCCCUGCUCCAUCUUGCAAUACUUUUGGGUGCAAAGUACUUUUGGUUCACCUUUGGGUAUUGCACUCUCUCCAGCAGGUUGCAUACUUACACUUCCCAGGUUAUUCACCUCCCCCCCACCACAUACAAUUUCACUUUGUCAAGUGUAUCCAGCAGAUUUUAAACACUUUAUUUAAUAAAAGUUAAACAUACAAAACUGAAAUUAACACACUUUGUAUUCAUAAAAAUCACCUUCUCCCAUUAUAGGGAGAACCUUUUUCUAUGUAUGGAUUCUAAACUACCAGUUGUAGAGUUUAGCUUGAGUUGUGACUCAGGUAACUGAUGGACAUUCCCACCAAUCAGUGCAUCAACGAUUGCUGACGUGACCUGAUCUAGUUAACAAAUUACAAAAUGAGCUACAUUAACAUAAUAUACAGGGAAAUAAUGGUCAGGGUUAAUGGACAAGAACCACCUUUGAAUUCUUUAAGGGGGGGGAAAAAGCUGAUGUACUCUUGUCCAUUAACUCAGCCCUAGAUUUUACAAAAAUAAUAUCUACAUUGUGUACAGGGCUACCCAUUAACUUCUUUAAACACGUUACAGGUUCAGAGAUGGCACCACUACCGUGAGAGACAAGUAACGGGGGAAAGCAAAUCACAGAGAAAAUACAAGAAAGCAAGAGCUUUUACACGUGUUUCCUGAAUAAAAUGGAAGGGCUGAGCAGCACUGUACUACAGCUGAAGUCACAAUGAGCACUGGGGCCACUCAGUUAAGGACAGACACUUCAGACUAACCUUUACUCGCUCCCAACUCGCUAAGUGGGCUCUACGCAGCCGUGCUGCCGCUCAGAGGGACAGGAUGGAGGAGGCACAGACCAGCUCUCCCCGGGUUCCAGGCCAGCAAUCAGCAAACCCAGGCGAUCCACAAGCAAGGUAGCACAACCAUGGCUGUUCUCCAACACCCUGAUCCUCAGGGAGGGGAGCAGAGAGUAUUCUUAAGUACAGUUCUCUUGGAAUUGGAGUCUAAACACCUUCCUAUGGUUUUCUGGUUACAAUAGCCUUUCAGUAACCUCCUAUAAAAUUUGAUGAGUACUUAAAAAAAGACAAAAAAAAAAAAAAACCCCAAACCAACCCUCUCCUCUGCUUAACUCCUAGUGCAGGGAAUCCAAACUGGAAUUCAAGUCAGAUUUAUUGUUUCUAGCACAUGAAUCACCAUUAGUAAUAAAGAUCCUAUCGGCCCUGUCCUGCCCUCAUGUACAGCUGUACAAACCGAUCCUCAGUGGAUUGUAAGGGAGUGAUUUAGCACUUCCUUAGCAAUCCCAUGGGAUGUAUAAGCUCUUAUAGAGCCCAGCUUAGCGUUCUCUCCCAGAGCUGUGGAGCUCUCUAACGCUGCGCUCAUUGCUGUGACUGCACGAACAAGGGAGGCUGUUGGGUGCCAUUUUCCUACCACCACUUUCCUUAAGGAAAAAACCAAAUCUCAAUACUGCUAUGAAUGGAAGAUUCCAGAGAUCAAAGCUGCAGAUAACUACUGCUUUCAGAGCAACACAUAACAGCAGUUCAUGAAAGCAUUUACCUGCAGAAUGUAUUUUUAAUGCAGCUACAAAAAGUUUAAUGGUAGAGGGGGUCAAAUCAAGAGCUGGAGAUUUAAGGCUCUCGUAUCAGCUGAAGCCAAAGUGAUGGUGACAGAACGGACUACUUGCGAUGUGCCAACAAAUAAUUUACUUUUAGAAAAAUAUAAUGAUAAAAAGAUAAGUGUAAAGCCCUGCAGAGAUGAAGUUCCACCUUUCCCCCCCCCCGUUACUGAGGCAUUAAAUGCCUGACAUUGUAUUUAGAGGUAUCUUGAUACUGUGUCAUAGGUUUGUCUGCAAUUCCACACGUUCCGACUCCAACCUUGCCAGUUACGCUCUCAGGGGAAGCAAAAAUACUCCUCUUCACCUGCAGAUGAAAGAGAAAACACCAUUCUGAGUAACUACUAACUGGCUC